rnacentral:misc_RNA from 1 species
CCAAUAGCGUAUAUUAAAGUUGUUGCAGUUAAAAAGCUCGUAGUUGAAUUUCGGGAUCAAUAUAUCGGUCGUGCCAUUGGUACGUACUGGUAUCAUUGGUUUCUCCUUUCUGACGAACCAUGAUGUCAUUAAUUUGGUGUUAUGGGAAGUUAGGACUGUUACUUUGAAAAAAUUAGAGUGUUUAAAGCAGGCUUUAGCUUGAAUACAUUAGCAUGGAAUAAUGAAAUAGGACGUUUGAUUCUAUUUUGUUGGUUUCUAGGAUCGACGUAAUGAUUAAUAGGGAUAGUUGGGGGCAUUAGUAUUCAAUUGUCAGAGGUGAAAUUCUUGGAUUUAUUGAAGACUAACUACUGCGAAAGCAUUUGCCAAGGAUGUUUUCAUUAAUCAAGAACGAAAGUUAGAGGUUCGAAGGCGAUCAGAUACCGCCCUAGUUCUAACCAUAAACGAUGCCGACCGGCGAUCCGCUGUCGUUACUUGAAUGACUCAGCGGGCAGCCUCCG